ensembl:lncRNA
AUGCUUAUCUAUACUGUACUCAGGCCUGUAGUUCGGUUGUUCCAUUCAUCUGUUUUCCACUCUGUGUCUAAAAAGGGACCAAGGCCUGGUCAGAAAAACGAGGCCGUCCGCCGGAAGCACCAUGUCCUCCCCCAAGGCCUGUCUGAACCGGUCCUUCUCCCCCCCUACCCCCUGAUACACCCCUCCCUCUAUCUGAGCCGGUCCUCCUCCCCCCUACCCCCUGUGCCCCCCUUUCUUCCUGCUCACAAGGGCCUUGAGGACAGUGAGCUGAAUAAGACAGUGGAUACACUGGUGGCCACUUUGGAGGAUGAGGAGGACAACAUGGCACAGUCCAUGUCUGGGUCAGACACAUGCGCACCCACACGCGCAUGCAAACGCACAUACAGCAGAAACAAGCGUAAGUCAAUAUGGCCGCCCAGGGACAUGGACAAGAGACCACAACCAUGGGCGGAGCCACACCCGUUCGCCGACGAGGUCCAAGAGGUGCAACAACCUAGGAAAGACGUCAAUGAACCACAGACACUGACUGGGCAGACAGAGAAGACCAAGGGGGAGAAGGCACUACUGGGGGCCACCAGAGUAGGCCCUGCUCAGCCCAGCUCCAGCCUUGCCUGGCCUCCCUCCCUCCCCUCAGCCCAGACGGUGGUGGUGUCCCCCCUGAGUCGUCCGGAGGGCCCCUGGCCCCGGGCUCUGACCCUUGAGGGGGCUGGAUCAGACAGGGGAGCCCUGGUCCAGAGACUGGCUGGACUGGAGAAGGAGGCUCAGAGGCUGAGGAGGAUACUGGGGUCCACUGCACUCCCAGCGACGCCAGACAACAUGGUGAUGACAGAGGCUCCCUCUGGGGAUAAGGCAGCUGCUGGGGUGGGGGUGGAGACACCGGUGGCCAUGGUAACCAAACUGGACCAAAUGGAGUGUGAGAGCUCCGUGUCCCCCAGUGGCCCUGGGGUUCCAGGGCUGGUUGUGGAUGGCAUCCAGCCCCAGAGAGAACAGCCUGAGCUGGGCAGACUGAGGAGGGAGAAGGCUGACCCCCAGAGCAGGCUGAGACAGACUGACAGCCCAGUGACCAGGGACCAGAGCUCCCGCAUUGUGCUGGAGAAUCUCCACAAAAUCCGAGGGAACGUGGUGGCUCUGCUGUCAGCCAUCCUACCCCACCUGGACCUGCAGGGCAUCAGCCUGGACACGCCAGACGUAGACAGCAUCCUGCAGCAGAUCAUAGAUGCCAACUCACUGUCUCCACUCUAGAACCCACUCUCAGUGCUCUAGAACCCACUCUCGGUGCUCUAGAAACUCACUCUCGGUGCUCUAGGAACUCACUCUCAGUGCUCUAGGAACUCACUCUCAGUGCUCUAGGAACUCACUCUCAGUGCUCUAGGAACUCACUCUCAGUGCUCUAGGAACUCACUCUCAGUGCUCUAGGAACUCACUCUCAGUGCUCUAGGAACUCACUCUCUGACCGCUAGAAACUCACUCUCUGACCGCUAGAAACACACUCUGCAUUAGUACUUAUUCUCACCAGUCUACAGUCGUGGCCAAAAGUUGAGAAUGACACACAUUUAUUUUCACAAAGUCUGCUGCCUCAUUUUGUAUGAUGGCAAUUUGCAUAUACUCCAGAAUGUUAUGAAGAGUGAUCAGAUGAUUUGCAAUUAAUUGCAAAGUCCUUCUUUGACAUGCAAAUGAACUGAAUCCCCCAAAAACAUUUCCACUGCAUUUCAGCCCUGCCAGAAAAGGACCAGCUGACAUCAUGUCAGUGACUAUCUCGUUAACACAGGUGUGAGUUGUUCUUCCUCUGUCAUUGUUCUUCCUCUGUCAACCAUGGUAACCUGCAAGGAAACACGUGCCGUCAUAAUUUCUUUGCACAAAAAGGGCUUCACAGGCAAGGAUAUUGCUGCCAGUAAGAUUGCACCUAAAUCAACCGUUUAUCUGAUCAUCAAGAACUUCAAGGAGAGCGGUUCAAUUGUUGUGAAGGGCGCCCAAGAAAGUCCAGCAAGCGCCAGGUCCGUCUCCUAAAGUUGAUUCAGCUGCGGGAUCAGGGCACCACCAGUACAGAGCUUGCUCAGGAAUGGCAGCAGGCAGGUGUGAGUGCAUCUGUACGCACAGUGAGGCAAAGACUUUUGGAGGAUGGCCUGGUGUCAAGAAGGGCAGCAAAGAAGCCACUUCUCUUCAGGAAAAACAUCAGGGACAGACUGAUAUUCUGCAAAAGGUACAGGGAUUGGACUGCUGAGGACUGGGGUAAAGUCAUUUUCUUUGAUGAAUCCCCUUUCCGAUUGUUUGGGGCAUCCAGAAAAAAGCUUGUCCGGAGAUGACAAGGUGAGCGCUACCAUCAGACCUGUGUCAUGCCAACGGUAAUGCAUCCUGAGACUAUUCAUGUGUGGGGUUGCAUCUCAGCCAAGGGUUACCACAAUUUUGCCUAAGAACACAGCCAUGAAUAAAGAAUGGUACCAACACACCCUCUGAGAGCAACUUCUCCCAACCAUCCAAGAACAGUUUGGUGACGAACAAUGCCUUUUCCAGCAUGAUGGAGCACCUUGCCAUAAGGCAAAAGUGAUAACUAAGUGGCUUGGGGAGCAAAACAUAGAUAUUUUUGGUCCGUGGCCAGGAAACUCCCCAGAACUUAAUCCCAUUGAGAAUUUGUGGUCAAUCCUCAAGAGGCGGGUGAUUAUGCAUUGAUUAUGCAAGAAUGGGCUGCCAUCAGUCAGGAUGUGGCCCAGAAGUGAAUUGACAGCAUGCCAGGGCAGAUUGCAGAGGUCUUGAAAAAGAAGGGUCAACACUGAAAAUAUUGACUCUUUGCAUCAAAUUCAUGUAAUUGUCAAUAAAAGCCUUUGACACUUAUGAAACUUAUGAGAUUUAUGCUUGUAAUUAUACUUCAGUAUUCCAUAGUAACAUCUGACAAAAAUAUCUAAAGACACUGAGGCAGCAGACUUUGAAUUAAUAUUUGUAAUUCUCAAAACUUUUGGCCACGGACAGUACUGUAGGUAACAUGUUGAAUCUUUGCUCAUACCAACCUGGAACCCCUGUCUAUGGUGCAAUGUCCACAGCACAUUAUCCACACACUGACUUACAUUGUAACGGAUGACCCUCCAAUAGCCCUACUGACUGUCACAUUGUAAAUACUUUAUCUCCAGUUGACCCUGCCACAGUUCAGAUGUGUACUGUACUCACUGAGUGUGAGAUGUUGUUGAAAAGUUGUAAUACUGUCCUCCGAUCAGCUUACUAUGCUGUAAGUUUUACCUUCAUCAUAUGGGAAGGAUCCAUAUUGGUAAGCAGCGGUCUCUGCUUCAAUUAUCCUUGUGUCAUUCAGAGACCAUGGCUUGUGUGAGAGAAGCAUAUUACUGUGUGUGUUUAAUCAUUGAUUUUGUUUUUAAUAUGUUUAAUUGUUUUGUCAUUUUAAUAUCUGAAUGUGCCAUGAAAAAUUCAAAAUACUGUAAGCCUGAACUUAACCAGCCCUGUCGUUACAAUGUUUUACUGUUUCUUUGCUUGGAUAUCUUUUUUAAAGAAAAUCAAUCAGAUAUCAGAAUUGUGUGAUCUUUUGUCUGACUUGAGUGGAACAUGCAACAUUUUUGUUCUAAACACCUUACCCCUCUUGUCUGAAGCAAGUUGUCAAGUGUGUUUGAAUUCCAUCAAUGAAAAGUAGCUCACAAGUUCAUCAAAUUCUGCAGUAGACAAUAUUGACCACAAGGAGGCAGAGUGGCCAUCAUUUUUACUCUCUUUUACUGUGAGGAGCUCUGAAACAGACAUGUUUAACUUCACCAUUCCCAACUCACCAGUGAUGAUUUUAGAAUGUAAAUCUUGUUGGGGCAAAAUAAACCAAGUGGGCUGCAUGCCAGGAAUGCCACUAAACAAUACAUUAAUUGCACUAUAACGGUGACCGGUGAGGCCCACAAACUAUUAGGACAGCUUUACGUAGGCCCUAACAGCAGAAUCCCAGCAGUAGUCCCAACACCUUACCACUGUCUUGUCUGGCAAAUGAAGCAGUUCAUUCAGCCUCAUUUACUGCCUUUAAAUAAACAGCUGAUAUGACUGACUCGCUUAAACAAAUAUGGUUUCUACUGGCAAUUGAGAUGUACAAGCUAUGGCAUAAGGGGACGACAAGCGGAUAAGAGGCAAUCCAUAAUUUCGAUUAAAACAUUAAUGAGCGAGCUAGGACUGACGUCAAUAUAACUAUUUGUUCAGCACUUUUGAUAUGUACAGUGGCAGAAUUCAGAACAUGGACCGUUCUUAGUGUUCUCCCUGUACACCAAGUCAGAACAGUAGGAUAAAUAAAGGGGGCAUAUAAGCAGACAAUGAAACUAUUACAAUAUUCGAUGAUUACAUUUCUCAAAAACAGGUUAAAUGCUACAUGUGCACCACCAAGUCAGGACAGUAAGUGAAAUUAAGAGGUGAAACUAGUCCAAAUUAUUAGGGUGAGGCACAUGGGCUACUAACAGUUUACUGCACAACAUACACUUAGUAUUACUUUCUUAGCUAUAGUAUACAUAUCUCCCUGGCAUCCUUUAUGCAGCAGCAUACAAUACCUUUUUGGACUCGCCUUGUUGUGCUGUGCUCACUUUAAUUUUAAACUUGGAAAAGAGACCCUUAAUCUUAGACUUGGGACCACACAGCCACUCCACUGAAUAGCAUGCUAAUGAUUGCUUUGCAAUGCUUGCAGUUAGCCACUGAUUCCUUCCAAACCACGGAAUUUGCAAUUUCCAACUUGUGUAAUGUUUAUGUCCAUUGGCCGAUGAGCAUUGAUACGUUUUAUCUAUAAUUUCUCUUCGUACGAUAAGGAUUAAAAACAAUUUGCCAAUCGAUUGUCGACUUGAUUCAUGAUGAUGUCUGCAAGCUAAUAUUUUGAAAGUAUGAUGUCCAAGAUAAAAUUAUGUAAAAUCAUG